ACCCCCUGGUUUCCUGACCUAUCUGAUCUAAACACUUGUCUGCCUGGUCACAGAAGGAGGAGAAGUAAAACUGAAAUGGAUUUUAGUUCUUAUGUGACAGGCUGGUUUCAAACAAAC
rnacentral:snoRNA from 1 species